rnacentral:rRNA from 1 species
GAUGAACGCUGGCUACAGGCUUAACACAUGCAAGUCGUGGGGAAACGGCAUUAUGUGCUUGCACAUUCUGGACGUCGACCGGCGCACGGGUGAGUAUCGCGUAUCCAACCUGCCCCUUACUUGGGGAUACCCCGUUGAAAGACGGCCUAAUACCCGAUGUGUUUCAUUGACGGCAUCCGAUAUGAAACAAAGGUUUUCCGGUAAGGGAUGGGGAUGCGUCUGAUUAGCUUGCUGGCGGGGCAACGGCCCACCAAGGCGACGAUCAGUAGGGGUUCUGAGAGGAAGGUCCCCCACAUUGGAACUGAGACACGGUCCAAACUCCUACGGGAGGCAGCAGUGAGGAAUAUUGGUCAAUGGACGCAAGUCUGAACCAGCCAAGUAGCGUGCAGGAUGACGGCCCUAUGGGUUGUAAACUGCUUUUAUGUGGGAAUAAAGUGGCGCACGUGUGCGCCAUUGCAUGUACCUCAUGAAUAAGGACCGGCUAAUUCCGUGCCAGCAGCCGCGGUAAUACGGAAGGUCCGGGCGUUAUCCGGAUUUAUUGGGUUUAAAGGGAGUGUAGGCGGUCUGUUAAGCGUGUUGUGAAAUUUAGGUGCUCAACAUUUAACUUGCAGCGCGAACUGUCAGACUUGAGUACACGCAGCGCAGGCGGAAUUCAUGGUGUAGCGGUGAAAUGCUUAGAUAUCAUGAGGAACUCCGAUCGCGAAGGCAGCCUGCGGGGAGUGUUACUGACGCUUAAGCUCGAAGGUGCGGGUAUCGAACAGG